AGACAGCGCCGCUUCCCCGGCAAAGGCAGCAGCUCCGGGAACGCCGCGAAGGGACUCCCAUUUCUCCCGCCUCGGCGGCGCCAGGGCCGGCACGGCCGGCCAGUCGGCUGCGGCCCGGGAGGCUCUGGAAAGAGGGCCGAGCCAAGGCCGAGGGCCGAGCCGCCGCCGGAGAAGGCCGAUUACCCGGCCCCGUCAGCGCCCGCCCUAGCCCCGCGCCGCGCAGGGGGAGCGCCGCAACGGGGCUGGCUAGGAGGGCGAGCGGCUCACGACCGGAAACGGGACGUCCAGUAAUCCACGGCUCGGCGCCUGGGCCGCGCGAGCAAACCGGAAGUCAGGCCGGAGGGAGAUGGGAGGGCGUUCGCCAAGCCAGUGCUGGGGCAGAGUAGGGGAGAGAUUAAAUGCAUUUAUGGAAAAAGGAAAGUUGAAUAGUAAGAUGAUAGCAGAAUAUUGUAAUACGGCACUGGAUUCCUCAGUGGAAAACAGCAUGUAUGUAAACAAAGUGUGGGUUCAGUGUGAGAAUGAAAGUUGUUUGAAAUGGAGAUUGUUGUCAAGUGAGGAUGCAGCCAAAGUUGAUCACAAUGAACCAUGGUACUGCUUCAUGAACACUGAUUUAAGGUACAAUAAGUGCUCUGUUUCUGAAGAAGACUUUCCUGAAGAGUCUCAGCUUCAUCAAAGUGGAUUUAAGAUCGUCUAUUCACAGCUCCCUCUUGGAAGCCUGGUUUUGGUAAAAUUACAGACUUGGCCAAGUUGGCCAGGGAUACUUUGCCCUGAUCCUUUUAAAGGGAAAUAUGUGACCUAUGACCUGGAUGGAGAUGUUGAACAGUAUCACAUAGAAUUCCUGGGUGAUCCCCAUUCAAGAUCAUGGAUAAAUGCAACGUUUGUUGGACAUUAUAGUAUCACAUUAAAGCCAGGAAAAUGUAAGAAUAAAAAGAAGUGGUAUAAAAGUGCACUACAAGAAGCAUACCUCCUCUAUGGAUACUCUCAUGAGCAAAGACUGGAAAGGUGCUGCCUAUCAAAACAGGACAAAUCCAAAGCAGAUGGCAAAGUUGCUGUGGUGGCCAAGAAAAGGAUGCAAGUUUCCAAAAAUAAUACUAAAAAGAAAAAGCCCAAAUUUAGAAAAAGGAAAAGGAAAACUGUUUUAAAAUCAUCUUUUGAAAAUGUUUGUUCAGAUGAUGCCUUAUCAAAGGAAAACAUGGUUGUCUCUGAGACAGAACUUUUACUAAAAGAGCUGGAGCAAAUGCUAGAGCAAGCACUGGAGCCCACAGCCGCCCCUGAUGAGUCCGAAGGGGAGCGCGGAGAGGAGACAGAUACAGGAGAAAAGGUGGAAGACAUUAACUGCAUGAUGACCAGACUGUAGCCAUGACAUAAGCUGCCACAAUUCUGAGAACUGGCCUCAAAGAAAUGGGAACAAACCGACUCUGGAACUGAAGAUUAACUGUACCUAAAACAAUCAAGAUGAUGGUGGUCAGACCAUUGGUGGAUGACCAAUUUCAAGAUGAGCGUCAGAGCUGACUGUGCUGUCUCUGCAUGUAGUCCCCUCCCUCCGCCUAUGAAAGCUCUUGCCCACUGAUUGUCAGUGGGAGGAGUCGGCCUUUGGACAGGAGCCUGCCCCGCAACCUGGUUGCCGGCCUCCAAAAUAAAGGAAGCUUUCCUUUCCCCCAGCCUUGCCUCUUUAUUGGCUUUUGAGCGGCGAGCAGCUGGACCCACUUUAGCACUGGCUGCCAAACUACGCUUUUCCUUGGUGGAACGGAAAGAUGCCUCAGGACGAGCUGACGAGCUCCAAGACCAAAUAAGGCUCACCUGUAUGACCAUAAGGGAGUUACAAACAUGGCAGAGGGUGACCUUCAAGGCAGGUCAGAAGAGACAUUGAGGCU